rnacentral:tRNA from 1 species
GCGGUCGUGGCGGAAUUGGCAGACGCGCUACUUUGAGGGGGUAGUGUUCGCGAGGACGUAUGGGUUCAAGUCCCAUCGACCGCACCA